GGCUUAUAUCCGAGAGAAGAAUUUGCAAGAUCCGAAGGACAAGAGAAAUGUAACAUGUGAUGAAUCAUUGCAUGCUCUUUUUGGCGUAAAUUCUAUCAACAUGUUUCAAAUGAACAAGGCUCUUUCCAAACACAUAUGGCCGUUAAAUGAGGAAGAUGCUCAAUCUGACUUUGCAAAAAUGGAAACAAAAUCUAAACAAGCAAUGGAGAAGGCUCAAGCUGACUCCGCCAAAACGGAAAGAAAAUCUAAAAUAGCAAGGA